UACGUAGGGUGCGAGCGUUGUCCGGAAUUAUUGGGCGUAAAGGGCUCGUAGGCGGUUUGUCGCGUCGGGAGUGAAAACCAGGUGCUUAACACCUGGCUUGCUUUCGAUACGGGCAGACUAGAGGUAUUCAGGGGAGAACGGAAUUCCUGGUGUAGCGGUGAAAUGCGCAGAUAUCAGGAGGAACACCGAUGGCGAAGGCAGGUCUCUGGGCAUUAACUGACGCUGAGGAGCGAAAGCAUGGGGAGCGAACAGG
rnacentral:rRNA from 1 species